rnacentral:rRNA from 1 species
CCUACGGGAGGCAGCCGUGGGGAAUAUUGCACAAUGGGGGAAACCCUGAUGCAGCGACGCCGCGUGAGUGAAGAAGUACUUCGUUAUGUAAAGCUCUAUCAGCAGGGAAGAAAAUGAUGGUACCUGAGUAAGAAGCCCAGGCUAACUACGUGCCAGCAGCCGCGGUACUACGUAGGGGGCAAGCGUUAUCCGGAUUUACUGGGUGGAAAGGGUGCGUAGACGGCAGUGCAAGUCUGGAGUGAAAGGCGGGGGCUCAACCCCCGGACUGCUCUGGAAACUGGACGGCUGGAGUGCAGGAGAGGUGAGUGGAAUUCCUAGUGUAGCGGUGAAAUGCGUAGAGAGUAGGAGGAACACCAGUGGCGAAGGCGGCGUACUGGACUGUAACUGACGUUGAGGCUCGAAAGCGUGGGGAGCAAACAGGAUUAGAUACCCUUGUAGUC